rnacentral:tRNA from 1 species
GCCGGGGUGGCUCAGUGGGUUAAGCAUCUGACUUAAGCUCAGGUCAUGUCUCUGUUCGUGGGUUCGAGUCCCACAUGAGGCU